rnacentral:rRNA from 1 species
AGUGAACGCUGGCGGUAGGCCUAACACAUGCAAGUCGAACGGCAGCACAGUAAGAGCUUGCUCUUACGGGUGGCGAGUGGCGGACGGGUGAGGAAUACAUCGGAAUCUACUUUUUCGUGGGGGAUAACGUAGGGAAACUUACUCUAAUACCGCAUACGACCUACGGGUGAAAGCAGGGGAUCUUCGGACCUUGCGCGAUUGAAUGAGCCGAUGUCGGAUUAGCUAGUUGGCGGGGUAAAGGCCCACCAAGGCGACGAUCCGUAGCUGGUCUGAGAGGAUGAUCAGCCACACUGGAACUGAGACACGGUCCAGACUCCUACGGGAGGCAGCAGUGGGGAAUAUUGGACAAUGGGCGCAAGCCUGAUCCAGCCAUACCGCGUGGGUGAAGAAGGCCUUCGGGUUGUAAAGCACUUUUGUUGGGAAAGAAAAGCAGCAGGUUAAUACCCCGCUGUUCUGACGGUACCCAAAGAAUAAGCACCGGCUAACUUCGUG